GAUGAACGCUGGCGGCGUGCUUAACACAUGCAAGUCGAACGAAGUCCAUUAGAAGAAGCCUUCGGGUGGAAACUAAGAAGACUUAGUGGCGAACGGGUGAGUAACACGUGGGUAACCUGCCUUGCACUAUGGGAUAACAAUGAGAAAUCAUUGCUAAUACCAUAUAAGCUUACGCUAUCGCAUGGUAGAGUAAGAAAGAUUUAUCGGUGUAAGAUGGACCCNCGUCUGAUUAGCUAGUUGGUAAGGUAACGGGCUUACCAAGGCGAUGAUCAGUAGCCGACUUGAGAGAGUGAUCGGGCCACAUUGGGGACUGAGACACGGGCCCAAACUCCUACGGGGGAGGCAGCAGUGGGGGGAAUAUUGCACAAUGGAGGGACUCUGAUGCAGCAACGCCGCGUGAAGGAGACGGUUUCGGAUUGUAAACUU
rnacentral:rRNA from 2 species